UAGUCCACGCUGUAAACGAUGAGUACUAGCUGUUGGGGGGCAUUGUCCUUUCAGUAGCGCAGCUAACGCAGUAAGUACUCCGCCUGGGGAUUACGGCCGCAAGGCUAAAACUCAAAGAAAUUGACGGGGGCCCGCACAAGCGGUGGAGCAUGUGGUUUAAUUCGAUGCAACGCGAAGAACCUUACCAGGUCUUGACAUCCUGAAAACUUUCUAGAGAUAGAUUGGUGCCUUCGGGAAUUCAGUGACAGGUGCUGCAUGGCUGUCGUCAGCUCGUGUCGUGAGAUGUUGGGUUAAGUCCCGUAACGAGCGCAACCCUUGUCCUUAGUUGCUAGCAGGUAAUGCUGAGAACUCUAAGGAGACUGCCGGUGACAACCGGAGGAAGGUGGGACGACGUCAAGUCAUCAUGGCCCUUACGACCUGGGCUACACACGUGCUACAAUGGGCAGUACAAAGGGCCGCUAAGCCGCGAGGUGGAGCAAAUCCUAUAAAACUGUUCGUAGUCCGG
rnacentral:rRNA from 1 species